rnacentral:rRNA from 1 species
UACGAAGGGGGCUAGCGUUGUUCGGAUUUACUGGGCGUAAAGCGCGUGUAGGCGGGUCGUUAAGUUGGGGGUGAAAUCCCGAGGCUCAACCUCGGAACUGCCUUCAAAACUGGCGGCCUGGACCCAAGUAGAGGCAAGUGGAAUUGCGAGUGUAGAGGUGAAAUUCGUAGAUAUUCGCAGGAACACCAGUGGCGAAGGCGACUUGCUGGACUUGUGGUGACGCUGAGACGCGAAAGCAUGGGGAGCGAACAGG